rnacentral:rRNA from 1 species
GGCGAACGGGUGAGUAAUACAUCGGAACGUGUCCUGUAGUGGGGGAUAGCCCGGCGAAAGCCGGAUUAAUACCGCAUACGAUCUACGGAAGAAAGCGGGGGAUCUUCGGACCUCGCGCUAUAGGGGCGGCCGAUGGCAGAUUAGCUAGUUGGUGGGGUAAAGGCCUACCAAGGCGACGAUCUGUAGCUGGUCUGAGAGGACGACCAGCCACACUGGGACUGAGACACGGCCCAGACUCCUACGGGAGGCAGCAGUGGGGAAUUUUGGACAAUGGGGGAAACCCUGAUCCAGCAAUGCCGCGUGUGUGAAGAAGGCCUUCGGGUUGUAAAGCACUUUUGUCCGGAAAGAAAACUUCGGGGCUAAUACCUCUGGAGGAUGACGGUACCGGAAGAAUAAGCACCGGCUAACUACGUGCCAGCAGCCGCGGUAAUACGUAGGGUGCGAGCGUUAAUCGGAAUUACUGGGCGUAAAGCGUGCGCAGGCGGUCUGUUAAGACAGAUGUGAAAUCCCCGGGCUUAACCUGGGAACUGCAUUUGUGACUGGCAGGCUAGAGUAUGGCAGAGGGGGGUAGAAUUCCACGUGUAGCAGUGAAAUGCGUAGAGAUGUGGAGGAAUACCGAUGGCGAAGGCAGCCCCCUGGGCCAAUACUGACGCUCAUGCACGAAAGCGU